AGUCUGACCUGCCCUAUGAUAUAUAAUUAAAUGGCCGCGAUAAUUUGAUCGUGCAAAGGUAGCAUAAUAAUUAGUUUCUUAAUUAGGAACUGGAAUGAAAGGUUGAACGAAAAAAUAACUGUCUCAAUUUAAAUUUUAUUAGAAUUUUAUUUUUAAGUAAAAAAGCUUAAAUAAGUUUUAAAGACGAGAAGACCCUAUAGAGUUUUAUAUUUAUUAUAUAUUUUUUAGUUUAGGAAUUUAAUUUUAAAAUUUAUAAUAAAAUAUUUAAUUGGGGUGAUUAAAAAAUUUAAUAAACUUUUUUUAUUUUUAAACAUUGAUUUAUGAUUAAUUGAUCCAUAUAUAAUGAUUAAAAGAUUAAAUUACCUUAGGGAUAACAGCGUAAUUUUUUUUGAGAGUUCUUAUCGAAAAAAUAGAUUGCGACCUCGAUGUUGGAUUAAAAUAAACAUAUGGUGUAGAAGCUAUAUUAGUUAG
rnacentral:rRNA from 1 species